CGGGAGUACAACUGAGGAGAAUGAUGUAGUGGUCCUUCACUGAUAAAAAU
rnacentral:misc_RNA from 1 species